rnacentral:lncRNA from 1 species
AGGUUUUGAAAUUAGUUUCAAUAAAGAUUUUUGUUUCAUUUAUUUAUGAAAUAAAUUGGUUGCACAAGGUUUUUUAAUUGAGAGUCUUUAUCACUUGCAUAUUGAUGCGAAUGUGAACCUAAAAUAAGCAAAUAGUGAGUGUCGUAGGCCAAAAGAAAUUCAGAGUCGUAUCCAGCUUGCGAAUCCUACCUUCGAGGGGCCAAGUUACCCUUGUAGGACAAGGGGAGAGGGCCA